AAGAGAGAUACCGACUGAUAAAUAACACAAACAACAUUAAACCCUAGGCUGGUGAGAAGGAAGGUGGGAGAAAAUGCAUUUCUCAGCUUCUGGUAGGUACAGUGCCUGAGGCUGAGAGCUGAAAGCAAGAGCAAGGAUCAUCAUUGACCAAAGGAUGGACCGUAAUUUGAAAUACAGUCUUCAUCUUUAAUGAAAGGAGAUUCAAGACUGAGAAAGACUAAGAGAAAUGUUUGACGAACAUCUUGAGAAAGACAUGAAAGCAGCAGUAAACAGAAAGAAGUCCACGGAAGUCAGAGUGUGCUGGAGUCAACAAGGAGAAUUGGGGCCUGAUUGCAGAAAGUGUGCAAAACAUGGGAGGAACAUGAAAGAGGCUGUUUUGCCAGGAACAUUAAGCCAUUACUCUAUAUUGCUACAUGCACUACUUGGGGUCUAAUCUUCAGCUACUGUCAUAGAUUUAAAGGUCAGCAGUGAUAUGGUCAUGAUCAUCUAAUUUAACUUCCUGAAUAACCUAAGUGGUGGGAUUGCCUUCAUGAAUCAUUGCUGCAAGCCCAGGAAUAUUUCUAAACAAGAAGCGAAGCAUCUCUAACUGUUUAGAGGAAAUGUUAUUACACAAUGGAGGACAAAACAGGCAAGCUACUUCAAACAGGAUAAAUGGAUGAAGGCUUCAAGGGAUCAUUUCCAAAUCUGAUGGAUGAGUUCAAAAUAUUCAAUUCAUUCUAACCAUCAGGCGGAAAAACAGUCGAACUCCUGAGGAGAAAAGAGCAGAUAAAUGCUGAAAUGAACUUGCAUAUCUUUAAGAGGUGCAACCAAUGGAUUCACACCACAGAAACUUUUCAAAGAGUUUUGAACUGCUUCAACUUAUAUGCCCCUUACUGAAAAUUGCUGAAUGGAUUCCCAUGAAGACAGUGUCCAUACUUUGCUUUGCAUUAUAAAGAAGAGAUCAGAAAUUUGGAAGAAAAAAAGAAGUUAUUCUUCCCAUUUUGAUGUGGGAGACUGGACUGGUUCCCUUGUGACCUAACGUCAAUCUUUUGUGACACCAACAACUGCAAAGACAAAUCAGCGUGGCCCUUGAAUGGAGAAGUUGAGUUCAAAGGACAGUGAGCUGACACAGACUGAUGCGUCUGUGGUAGGAAUGCUGCGGGUGAGAGCUGGACUGAAAGAUGUAACAGUGUUGUUGCUCCUAUUCAUGAUGGGGAACAGUGUCCAGCCAGAAGGAUGUAGAAGACCUGCAUUGCUGGUGGCCUGUGUGGUCUGAGGAACAAACAUGGUGUGGGGUGACACAAAGACGUAAGAAACAGUCCUACAGCAUGGCUCCUGUUCCUAGGUCUGGAGACUACCCAAGGAAGUCACAGGAGUCAAUAGAGGCAGCUGUGCAGUGCACAAAGAGCAGCACCACAGAGGAAGGACGGACUCAGUCCAGGCAAGGAAGAGGUUUCAAAGCAAAGAGAUUCUCCAGAUGGUUGUGCUUGCUUGCCUGACACAUGGGGCUGAACAAAGCUUAAUAGCUACCAACACCAAGGAGGAAUUUUGUUUCCCAAAAUGCCAAUCCCAAGGAAAGGGAAAAAUAAAUAACACUGAGUAAGUUUGAUAGUUUCUCAAAGUAUGUUACUGCUUCUAGUCAGUCACUUCAGUAAGUGAAGGCAUACAAAUUUGCACCUGGUUUGGUUUUGUUGUCCUUCUUAACUAUGUUGACCUACAAACGUCAGCUCACUGCAGAUGGUAGGCAAAAUAAUGUGAAAAAAAAGAGGUCACAAGUGCUGCUACUUGUUUAAUGUUGUAAGUUUGUAAUCAAUGAAACACAUCCAAUUGAUGAUGCGACUUAAAGAUGUUUUGGUUGCCACUUUUUGUUUUGGUUUUGCUUCUCAUCUGCUGUGCUCCUCUUGAGCAGAGGUGCUGUUCAGGGAUUGUCGGUGUGGUCUGCUACGCACCACUGCAGAUGGCAGCUCAGUGGCAGCAUUUCCCAAAGGUGGAACUGCAGUGACUGGGUUUGUCUUGUACAGAGGCCUGCACGUGCUUGUCAGUGGAGGACUAUGUCAAAGCUGCAGUAUUUGUAUUUUAGUUAAAAGAAAAAAAAAUCAAACAAAGGGACUGGCAUCUUGUGUAUUUGAAAGGGAGCCCAGUUCUGGCAUAGAAAUUUGUAGGAGGAUCUGGAAUACCUUGAGAGAUUUCAAAGGAACUUGAAAGGGGAAUGUAAAAAAAAAUAAAAAAUAUAAUAAUAAUAAUAAUAAUAAUAAUAAUAAUAAUAAUAAUAAUAAUAAUCCAACAAAAACAAACAAAAAAACCUGAGUCUUUAAAGUUAAAUUGAGAAACUGUCUCUUUUCAGUUUAUUAAACCACAGUAAAGAGGUAAAUUGUCCAUUGAAUUAUUUAUAAAACAAGAGUUGGAAAGGAGACCUUGCUGUUUAUGUUGACAAAAGGCCUAGUCUGGUUUAACAGCUGGAAGCAGAAACUUGCUACGUUCAGUGAAGGUGCCAUUUCCUACCAGCAAGAUUGAAUUGGUGCAUUGAACUAUCUUGCUUGGAUGAGAAAGAUUGUCAUUGUUUGGAAUCCAUCUUCAAGAUACAUUUAAUUCAGUUUCUGUCAAAAACUGUGUAAUCUGUAUAUGUAGGAGAUAAGACUAGAUCAACCUAAUGUUACCCAUCAUAGCCCUCAGAAUCCAAACUUCUGUGAAAGUUGGAAAAGCACAGGGAAUUCAGCUGGAUAUAUUUGUACAAUAUUGCAUGUGAUUUUUCUUGAUAUGUUUCACACGUGUAUUCCAUGUCUGUCACCAAAUUUCUACUACAUUUUUAUUUUUAUUCAUCUAAAGAAAUCAGGCAAGCCUCCACCUGAGGAAGUCAGCAUAAGGGUUUUCAUUAUCAUAGGUCACCAAUUCCUGAUGCUGAAUGCCAGCAGUGAUGUUUAGGGUGAUAAUUGCUAAUGACAGCACAAUGUUCCCAUGUUUAGCACCAUUUCUUAUUUAUUCUCUACUGCAUUCAUGUCUUUCUCUUUUCAGAGGAAUUAAGAGGGCAUUUCAGUUUACAGGAGGCAGCAUUGCUGAUCUGUGUGGCUGUAUUUGCCAAAAACCCCAGACUUCUCAGAACACAAAAUGCCUGAAGUUUACCCUUCUCAUUUUGCUGUCCAAAAGGCUCUAGGUGUCCAAUGCCACCACUAAUCCUGCCUUUAUUUCUCACAGCUGAGGGUUGGAUCCAGUUUGUGGCUUCCGUAGGGAUAAGAGCGAGGGGCUCCUCACUGCAGCUGGGAAGGGAAGGAAACACACUUUUUUUCACCCAGCCUCUGUUUUUCAGCAUGCAGCCGGUUGUAUUUGUUGUAUUUGUGGAUGGGGAGCGCCACCUGCCGCAGAUAUCGCACUGAGCGAGGCGCUUUUGGGGCAGGCAGUGAUAUUUUCAAUUAACUUCACCUCCAAACUUAUUUUUAACUGCUCAGCUAAAACCUAGAGCUCAGUUAAUGCUCUCUGUAGCUGUCACUGAUGUCCACAUUGCCACAGAGGGAGGAGCGCUGGUGGGAUUAACACAGUCUGUCUAGGGAAAAGGAGGCACUGGCUGAAUCCUUUUCUGUUUGGGUUUUUCAAACAAGAACAAAAGGUAUUUUAUUUUAUUUUAUUUUAUUUUAUUUUAUUUUAUUUUAUUUUAUUUCAUUUUAUUUCAUUUUAUUUCAUUUCAUUUCAUUUCCAGAAGCAGAAUUCUAGUCAUGCCAUGUGCAACAGAUAGCCCCAGAGCAGAACUGGCAGAGCAGGCUCUACCAUGCAAGCUCAAAGAAGCUUUAAAAAGUUAUUUUCACUUUUUUUUUUUUUUUUUCCAUGUAAGAAACUACGUAGAUGUCUAUUAUACUGACAUUGCUCAUAAGUGCUUGAUCUAAAACGAGUACCAAAAUUUUGUGAAAUUUUGUAACCUAAGCCUUUAGACAAUCAUUUCAGCAGGUAGAGAGCAGCUAAUCGCCACUAUUAAUCUGAAGAAAAUCUUAAUUUACAUCAAUUGAGGAUAUUAAUUUCCUGUUUUAAAAGAUGAAUGGCAAAAAAAAAAAAAAAAAAAAAAAAAAAAGAUGUGUUAAAAAUAAUCUGUCUGGCAGCCAGGACUCUCUCAGCAGGAUAUGAUCUUGCAGACCAAUUUGAUCAAUGAGUGUCAGAGCCCAGAUGGCACCAAUGGGCCUUAAUGGUCCUGAGCAGCCUCACCUGUGGCCUCCUGUCCACACCCUGCCCCAGGGAUUGGGAACCCUAUUUCAGCCCAACCCCAGACCUUCAGUACCUGCUUGAGCUGCUGGGGAGGGAAGAUGGGUUUUGUUUUAGCUGCAGCUAUGUUGCUGCAUGUGCUUCAGUCCUGUUGCUCAGUGAGCUGGUGGUCCAGGCUGAUGUCCAGGAGUGGCACUGGAUCUGCCUCAUCACCAUGGCCCUGCUUGGCCACCCUAGGGUUUUGUCAGGCCCUACGUAUUGUUGCUGGACCUGACCCUAACCUAAGGCUUGGCUUCCCAAUUUAACCUUGGAUCUGCCUUGUUCCCAUGGACGUGUUUGGUGAUUUGGGCUAUUGCUUGAUUCUCACUGCCCCUCUGGCCUGCCUGGCUCCUGCCCUGGGAUGGUGGGAUGAGUCCUGGCUGGUGAGGUCCUGUCCUGCCACAUGUGUUAUUCCCUUAGAUCCUGGCUCCCCGUCCAAGAGAGCAGCUGGCCCUCACUGCAGGCAGGGAAUGGUCUAACAGCUGAGCUAAAAGAUGCUUGUUUGUGGCUGUUAGCUGCUGCCGAAUCUCAGUAGAGACCAGGUUGAUGUGAUGUAGUUUCAAUAUGAACACUGAUACCUCUUCAUUCUUUUAUAGAAGUCAGCUUAGACAAUCGUGAAGAAGAAAUUGAGUGUUUGAGGUGCAAUUUAACCACUGUUGUGAUGAGAAGUCACAGCUGUGAAAAACAAAGCUUGUUAGACUGUCCCAGCAGUGUAUGUUAUGUGCAAGCCAGAAGCUUUGCAUAUCUCUGGAAAAAUAGCAUUUUUUUGUUUGAGUAAGGAAGUUAUAGUGAAUCAUCUGUUCCACACAGUGACUACAAAAAUCUUGGCUGUUGAAUGGGCUACCUUGCCUCAGCUGUGAGCUGCUAGUCUAGUUUAGGAGGACAACACUCUGUUCCUGUGGCUCAUGAAAACAGCAGCCCUGCUUUGUCUGUCAAAGUGCAUGCUAGGGGCUCUGUUUGCAAGUGUCUGAAAAGUCAGCAUUUCAGUAUGACUGUUGUGGGCCAUAGUGUACCCUAAAGCAUCAGCAUCAUCAGAGCCAGCCCCCAGUGAGACAGAUGCGUGAUGGUGUGCAUGCUGCUAGAUACAUCCCAGGGCCCAGGUCAAAGGCCCAGUAAAACUGUCUCGGGAAUUUGACGGCAGUUUUUGCUCCAAAUCCUGGUAGCCACUGAGUUGCUAUGGGCCUGCUGGGAUGUGAAGUCUAAGCGGCUUUGUCCUGCACAUCUUGAUCUCCUCCCCUGCCCAGUGCUUGUGCACACAAGCUGAUAGUUGUCCCCAGCACACCUCUGCACACACUGCCCAGCUGUGUCUGCACAGAUGAAAUCUGUGGAAGUUUACAAGUGUGAGAGUUGAACUACCUUGGUUAGAGAGACUGCAGCUAAACAGCACCUUCCCCUUGUGUGAGAUCCUCUCUCAACUUUUAUUGCCUCAAUUUUACCUCUUCCCCUGUAACGUAUGUCCCUAUGUGAGAUCAUCUGCCAGAUGAGAGAGAUCUGGUGUCUGGUAUGGCCAGGAGGGAUGAUGUCCUGAUGCCCUGCUUUGCUACAGCAGCUUGCUGGCGGAGAUAUUGGGGCUGGGCAGUGCCAGAAGGCUCCUACAUGUGUUGGCCCUUGGAGUCCUGGAUGUGCAGUGUCCUGCAACUGUUUUUGAAGUGCUGGCAGCAGUGCAGGCUUUUGAGCAUUGGUUCCUCACUCAGAUGGUGCUCGGUACCUCAGGAGGAAUGGAUGUGACAUGGCAGAAGAGAAAGGACCGGCUUCACCCCCCAGCCCUGGAGACACAUGCUGAUGUUUCUCCUGAGUUGUGUGGCUGGUGAAAGGCUGACCAACGUGCAUCUUGUCUUUGGAACAACAUGCAAUUGAACCAGCACAUGCAGGAAAAACGGGAUUUUCAAUGCUUGGGCAGCUCUCCAGUCCCUGCCAGAGCUGAGCUGUGCUGGGAAGGGCUCCCAGAGGAGUUUGGGAUCCUUGUCCCAGCAGAGCCUGGGAUGCAGGGCACCAUGAGCCUCCAGCAGCCGCACUGUACAGAGUCUUGUUGAGGGUCUAGUGGGGAAGAGACCAGGUGUACUUCAGCCUCCCUGGAGAUGUGAGAGAGCUUAAGCCAUGCCCUGCAUGCUGAGGACUGCAGCUGUGAUGCGCUGAAAGGAGAGGAGUGAUGCAUCUGGGAGACAAAUGUGACCAGCAGCUGCUACCUCUCAGCUCUGGCAGCACAGCAGUGAUCUUCCCAACACAGACAUGGGUGGCAAGCAGCAGCUGAGGAGCAAGAUGGUCCCAAACAGCAGGUCAAAACUUUGCCAAGAGAUCAGUUAUGGGUUCUUCAACAGCAACAAGUACCUGUGUGUCCAAAAAUACCUCUUUCCUGGGUAACGCAGAGACUGCAACUAGGGACAAGUCUAGAGCCUGGUCUUCAGAAUAUGAAAACAUGAAGUGUGGAUGCUCCAGUCACUUUCACUCUACCCACAGUGCAGCCAGUCAAGCAAAGAGAAAGCUUAACACUCUGUGAAGAGGGGUUGCACCACCUAGUUACAAGAGACUGAAGAAAUAGCCUCAGAAGAAGCCAAGUUCUUCUGUCCUAGCACCAGGAGGGUAUCUCAUGCUGGAAUGGGGCUGUGCAAUCCAUACAGGUACACCUGGGCCUUGCACUUCAGUUUAAAGUAAGUAGGCAAAACAACAAGGAUGCUCCCAAAGGUAAGAGCGCUGCUCUAGCAGGCUGCCUCAGCCAUGCCAUGCCCUGCUUCUGCUGUGCGUCCCUGGCAUUAGGAUUUAGAUUUGUUCACUCACCGGCUCGGGGCUCUUCUGUAUCCUCCAGCACUCCUUGUCUGGCUUGGGGUUUUGCUUCUGGCUGAGCCUUCAAGCUCUUUCCAUCUCUGCUGCACUGACACAGCAUCAUCUGUGUAGACAAAAGGUUCUUGUGAGAAGAAGGAAAAAAAAGGCAAAAAGCAAAACUGCAGCCAGAAGGAAGUAACUCUUCAGUGAGAUUUCCCCUUGGCAGCUCCCUUGCCCAUACACAUUCCUUUUUUUUUUUUUUUCCCUGCUUACAACACAAGCCUGAGUUUCAUCCAGGAUAGCAUCAUUUCAGUAACAUGUUAAGUCUUUAAAUAGGUGAUAUGCAUGGAUAUCCUAAGGACAGAGUAAUUUAGAGUCAGGUUGUGGUCUUCUCUGCACUAUGCAAUGUAUAUAUUUAUACCAAGGGUAUGGGACAAUCUUACAGAAAGCUUUGCAGUCCCCUUCUGGCAGUUGUCAGCCCACAGCCAGUGCUACAGCCUGCAAUAACUGAGCUGGACACGAGCAUCUGAUUUCGUGGCAAAACACAAGGAUGGCUCCUGCUUCCUUUGCUGUGCUCAGAACUGAGGCCUGUGAGAUGUAUCCUAAGAAAUACAAAUGUCUAAGAAGCAUUUAUACCUACCUGCUGGAUGGCAGCUUAAGAAAUUCUUCGUAAGUUCCAAGGUGUCCAAAAGUUUCCUCUUCAUGCUUUUCUCCACACCAAUACUUUCCUGUAAGAAAAGGAUACAUUCCUUUUCAGAAAAGGGAAAGCGUGACCCUUCUCAAGCUGAAACACCUGACCCAUCCUGGGCACCCCUUUUAAUUCCUCUGGUGAUGCACCAUGUUCUGUGUGUUGGGUAUCUCUCAUAGCUAGUGGGAUGCAGCUGUGAGCCUAGGACAUACCAAGAUCCAUUAGGUGACAUACCCAGGGAUUUUAUGACAUUACCCACUAUAGUUCAGAAACUGGUGCCUAUUUAACAAUUGCCUUCUUGUCCUCAGGAAGCUGUACUGCUGACCUCUCAGUGGAGGGCACAGAGCAGCACAGCUCAGAAGCUGUGCCAGCUGAUGGUACCCUCAUGCCAAGAAGCUGUUACCUUAUUCCCAUCCCUCUGCCACUGCUCAGUGCACGGUCUGUAUACAUUCAGACCUGCUCCGGGUGUACACCAAACACUACAGAACUACAUCUGAAAAAGCUUAUUCCUCUGCCUGGCAGCCACACCAGCAAGGUACUAAAGGUGACACAUGUCCCUGUGUGUCGUCUGCAUGUCCCCCCAACCUGCUUCACCUUACCUCUAGGAUACUUCUUACUCAGAAGGCUGAAUGUGUCCAUUUUCCUCAGUCUCUCUUUCCUGAAUCAAAGAAGAAGAUAUUCAGCAUUCCAAGUCACAAAGAAACAUAAGUGUGGAUGCCCAAACAUUUAAGUAUUAACACAUGCAGACACUAAAAGCUUCUUCAUAACUAUUCCACUCCAGAAGGUGAAGGAUGGAAGAGAGGUUGUGGACCAUGACUUACCUUAAAAGCAGCUAAACAUCUCACCCCAAGGGCACUGCAGCUCCACAGCCUCUUCCCAGCAUUGCUCUGACAUCAGUCUCCACAGGUCCUAGAGCUCUUCACAGAUACAGCACUUAUUGCCUCAGUGCUGCAGACAAGGGUUUUAGGCCACUCAGCAAAUGAAGAUCUCAGACAACGCUUAAUUUAAAAGCUAAAUAUAGUAUCAGGGUGAUGCUUGCCAGUGUUCCUUUAAUAAAAAAGAUAUUAUUUGCCUAAGGAUUUAUAACUUUCAAAUGAGAGUUUAAUACCUGAUGAUAUCUCUUCUUCAAGCACUUAUGCUUUCCAAUCCUACAAGUGUCAUUUUAACCAAUGUAAAACCCCAAAGCCUACAUUAGCUGGAAUUAAACUGAGAAACUGUGAAUAUCCAUGCUUCAGUUCAGGUACCCAAGGCACAAAAGCCAGAGGUAGGGGCCCCCAGCAUCCCUGUGGAGUCAGCAGUGCUCAGUAAUUGAGCUAUGAUUGAAGACAUACAUAAUCUAUUUCCUGACUUCCUGAAAGACACAGCAAGCCCACAAACACCACAAAGCAGGUUGUAAUUCAGCUGAUCAAAGCAAGAAGGACCAGUGCCACCGGCUCAGACAUGGCAAACUAGGGCUCUUCCACCUCCCUGUGACAACUGCCUUCAAUGGCUAUAUUCUCUGCACUGGGCACAUGGUCCACCAGAAAGUGAAGACCAUGCAAGCUGAACAUAAUCCCUAUUCUGCCUUUGAGGCUCUAUCUUUGCUUUAGCAACCAUUACCUUUCCUUGGCCCACAGAUGCAGGUAACAUUCAAGGCUAGUUUGUGUGGCCCCAGGGUCACUGUACUCAGCAAACAGACCUAAACUUCAGUCAGACAACUCCCAGUUUAAAUAAUGACAACACAAACAGCACAGAAAAAAUGACCAAACUGCUAGCUUAGACCCAAAAUGAAGUCACUACAGCACCAACAGAAUAAUGUAUAUCGAUGCAACUUACAGAGAAGGGCCCAUGGCUCUGGGAGGCUGCUCCACUUCUUAACCAAGAUGCAGCUUCUUGCAGGUGGGAGGUGACCCAACACCCAGGCAGCUUCCCUUUUCUGUAACAACUGGAUACAUCUCUUCUGAAACCAUACAACACCAGCGCUUUCUAUGUAAUGAAAAAUUACACAGCUCUUGAGCACAGAGAAUAAAUCAACGAAUAUGAAACUUUGCACUGUUUUUCAAUUGAAAAGGAAGUUGGAGGUUUUUUUUAUUAUUAUUAUUUUAAAAAAGCUCUCUAGUAUGUCAGAAAAAAAUAAGCCUUUUGCAUGUGAUUCGUGCUUAAAAACACCCACGCAGCUCAUCACAUUGACCUCAAAAGACAGAAAUGCUGCAGCAAGCCACAUCCAGAGAGGGAAUUUAUGGGCACUAAACCACAGUGAACAAAGAGCUGAUGAAUUAUCUGCUCUUCAGAGCUAAUCUGCUGAGCAAAUAUUAAUAAAAUUAGUGUUAAUCCCUGAGUCUCAUAGUUUUUGAGUUAUACAUAAUUUUUUGAAGGAUGAAAACUUGUUACUGGCUUCAGCUGAUCUAGGCUGGGAGGAAAAAAAAAAAACAUUUUCUCCUCCCUCUGUUAGUAAGCAGCAACUGGGCAUGGCCAGAAUGGCAGAGGUAAUGCUCAGUGUGGCUCUCAUCAGGCUGUUCCUUCCAGAGCUCUGCUGACUCUCAAAAUGUGUGAUUUGCCUAUGACUGCUUGCUGUGCUGUCUCAAUCUAUCAUGCAUCAAGCAGAUCUAGACUUACCGAGCAGGGAAGGUCCAAAGGGUCUGUCAGUGCCCCAUGUUCAUGCUCUGGGUGCUGCUGCAGAGCUCCAGGCAGCUGCAGGUCAGUCCAGCCCAAGCAGAAAAGCAGCUCACAGCUCCCUGGAAGGAAAGAGUUUGUUAGGGUCUGACAGAGCAAUAGCAGCCAUCUCAUCUCCACAAUCCUCACCAAAUCCCAGUGAAUAAAAAAAGGCUCUUAUUUCUUCAUCCCAAUUAGAAGAGUAAAGAAGAAAUCUACUGCUUGGAUACCCACAGAUACAUCUGCAAAAGUAAUAAUGAAAUUAUCACCUGUGAUUUAGAAAGUGAGGACACCCCAGCAAUCUUCAACUUCCUGCUGCUUUGGGUGUGCUCCAGCCAGUUUCUGACAUCUCCAUCAAUCUUCAGACUCCCUGUAAGGGAGGCCCAUGGGUCAGCUACCACCAAGUGAAGAACCACAGGCGUUGGUUUGCUUCCAGCUCCUGGGGGCUUCGUGUGAUGCCUUCAGAUGGCUGUAGUGAAAGGGAAGUCAAAGGAAGAACAGCAAGGAUGGAGACCUUCUGCCUGGAAUAUUUUCUUCAUCUUCAAGAGAGCUGCAGUGAGCUGUAGAAGAUAGUGCAGAGUUUAUAGAAGUACAUCUCCAGGAUUAUUUGCCUCUGUGGUAGAAGCACAGGUCUGUGCCUGGUGACUUUCAUGUUGCUUCAGAUAGGGGUUCUUGGAAGAUUUCAAUUUCAGAUUAAAGAUUUGUGAACUUCAUGUCAGCAACGGUAUAGAAAGUUUGCAGGUGUAUGCCUGUGUGAAUGCAUAUGAUAUUUGGGGGCAGAACUUAUAUUUUAAUCCAGGGACUUUAAAAACAAAGUGGAGAUACACCUUAGAAAUACACUGAUACAUAGCUCUAUUGGAAGUCAUUAAAAAACAAAGGUCAGUAAUAUUUACUUAUCUGUUACACUUUGAUGUGAGCUUUGCUAGUUGCAGAAUUAGUGCUCUUUUGCCUAAACUAGUACAGAGGUAAGGUCAAAAAUGGCACAUGAGCACACUUGGAGUCCCUGGUCAGCUGCUUCUCUUCAAUCUAUUCUGAAUUGUUUUCCAGAAAAUUUACAGGGUAUUCAUCUUUAGGAUUUUUUUUUUUUUUUUUGCUGCCUUUAAGCUGUGCAAUGCGAGGGGCUGGAACACCAAGGGAACCACGGGUUAUUAAACUAACAUAUGUAAUCCCUUCCACAUGGAAGAUUCCGGGCUGAAUGUGUGGGAAGGCAACAGCUAAUGGAAGAAUAAUACCAAAUGGAAGAUAAAAUCUGUGGGGGGGGAAAAAAAAAGAGGCGAAAGCCUCAUUGAUACGUGAUUGUGCUAUGAGAUUAUACCAUGGAACCUUCUGAGACAACUUUAAGGGUGACUUCAGUUCCCAAAUUCUGCCACUAGAUGGCAAGAAAAAACAAACUAAAAUCGGCGAGGCAUUGCCACCCCUGCCAGCCCCGAGGAGAGCGCCCCAGCAGCGCACCGCUGCUCUGCUGCGAGCACAGGGGGCAGAGACGGGUCCCUGGGAGCCCAGCAGGACGAGCCCGCCUCCUGCCGCAGUCAGGCUGCUCUUAGGACAAAGCCAAUCCAUGGUACCGUGCCCUGUAGUGCCCCUGCUCACUGCUGCUGAGCAGCUUUGGGCACGUUUUUGGUUCCAUGUGCAUGCAGAUAUGGUUGUUCCCAGAAGCUAUCUGAAUUUUGUGCCGUUCCAGCAGGGCUUCUCUUGCUGCUCACGAGGAUCCCGAUUCCUCUUGGAUUGAUUCACCUACUGAAGUGUAUUUCGUGAGCCAGUUGGUAACUAUAGCCUGCAGCUUGCCUGUGGCAGGGUAUCAUCCCAGACAAGGAGAUGGGUCUGCUUGGACCUUUAAUAGGGUAGCAUCAUUUAGGGGGACAAUAUAACCGAGAUCACCUAGGGCAGAGCCAGGACUUCAGCAGAAAGGCUCACUGCCAAGACUGAGGAUCCCCUACAAAUGGCAAGGUGUUUUGGCAAAAGUCUCCACCUAGACGCAGCUCUGUAAAACACUAGGUUCUCAUAGAAAAUUACUGAGUUUGGGGCACAGAAAGCUCCCCCAAAUCAGUAUGAGCUCAAAGCCAGUUCAGAGCUCUUCUUCCACCACCUAAUCACCAAUAAAACAAUUGCUUUAUUAGAGAUACUCAAGUGGAUGCCUCUGGUUUGUCACCUUCCCCCCAAAGAAGACUAGAGGAGUCCAUCUCCUCUUCCAGAUGCAGUGACACAAAGAAUGAGGGAGUUUUGCUACUGCUACAUAAGGUCAUUCACUCUAUUUCUGGUAGUGAGGUAAGCCCAGGGUACCACAGGUCUGGCUGCAGAGGGCUCCCAGGAGGGGAUAUUUGCCCAGAGUGGUCUUUCAUCCCAAGAAAGGUCUCCAGGAGCACUCCCCUCAGUAGGGGGCACGUACCCAGGCAGGGCCUCCACAGAGAUCACCAUUUCCCUCUAGAAAGGCUUGAGAAGUCUGAAAGGAAACUCAGAACUAGAGCAUUUGAAACGCUGCAAUAAAUGGGAGAGCUUGAAGCACUGUGCUGCUCGGAAGGUGUCAGGAGCGAAAUUAUUCUGGAAGCACCGAAGCAUAUGCUGUCAAGAGCAAUCCUGUGUUGGCAGCAAGAGGAUGGACAAAGCAGCCCAAUAGAUCCCUUCUUUCCAUCCUAGCAUCUAUAAUUCCUCUGUUAAUGACUUGUAAUCACAUCCUACACGUCAGGGUGCAUUUUGAUUUCUUGCUUGAUAAAGCGCCAGGGCCAGUAAGAUCAUUCAAUUAAUUGCAUGGUCCAGUGCCUUCCCCCGCCCCAGAGCCUCCUGUCCCACAUCGGGCAGGCACAUACUUCUGCAAGAGCCUGGGGGAAGGGAGCAGAGCAGAGAAACAUUCAUUCUCCUCAUUUAAAAAUGUAAAAUGCAUUCAGGACCACGUGUAAUAGUGUUGUAAAUCUUAUUUCCAUAAAGCACCUCCAGGGCUAAUUCACAAGACAUUAAUCAUAUUCCAGCUUCUCCCAGCUGUUAACUCAUCUGUAGGGUUUUUAAUAAAAGAUUGUGUGCAUUUCUGAGAGACAGAACUGUACCAACAAGGGCCGGUCUACUCAGAGCAGAGGUUUCUGUGGUCUGGAGGAACAAAGGCCACUGAGCACUCCCCAGAGCCCUGCACAGCAGGUUUUGGCCCCUGGCAGAGCCCUCCCCGGCUCUGGCCUGGGUUACCUCACCACCACUCAAUGACGCCCUAUGGUGAUGAGGUUUGGCUAGAGGACAGGCAGUAAUAUAUUUCCAGGUCACUUCCUCCAAGUGCAAUCUGAUUUAUUCCCAGCCAGCUCAUUGCUAUCGCUCAGUGGCAAAACCCUUAAUUAUUCCUUUAAAUCUAACUUCAAACUCCAAGCAUUCUCACACCUCCCUUUUGCUUCCUGGAAUUAUAAUCUGAUUUGUGGAUAAACACACUGCUUCCUUUUAUCCUACCUGUCUGAAAGCUAAUCUUUCCAGGAAAGGCUUCUUUUCAUCCCCAUGUCAUGCUGGGGAGGUGAUGAGCUAUCAGAAGUUGUGGGGGGUCUGCUGUUUCAGGAACCAGUAAACACAGUCAUCCCCAACCAGAGAAUGCCACAGCACAUCCAGAGAUGGGAUGCACCUCUUUAAGAUGCUGCACAUUCAGAUCUCCCUUGGCCAGACAGCAAGUGUCUCGGAGGUGCAGCAACAGAGUGAGCAGGCAUCGGUGCGCUGCAUUACAAUGCCUGCUCAGUGUCCUCCUCUGCUCACACCCAACCUGCAGCCCCACAUGCACAUACCCACCCAUCCCACGGCCCUCAGCAAGCCAGCCUCUUUCUCCUUGCAGAAGCAGCCUCCCAGACUGCCAGGCUCAUGCCUCCCCAUUGAGCCCAUGGGUUUUUCCUCCAGGCUGCCCUCCUAGAACUAGCCAGGCAGCAAGCUUGCCCUCAGCCCCUUCUUCCUCAAGCUCCUUUUCCAUAUGCAAAGCCAGAUUUGGGAGGAUUGCAUUGUCUAACUCCAUCCCCUAAAUCAGCUUGCUGCUAAUCCUGUUUUAAGUGUACACAUUCAAGUGAUCAUCACUGUGGUUGCAGAAGCCCCUUUCUUUCUCCACUUAAUUACGCACAAUAACAUUAAAAGCAACCUCAAGCUGCAGAAGCCCAGGUGUCAAAGGGAAAGUGGCAGAAGUUUUCCAAAAGCAGUUUCCUCUCCACUAUGAAGACUGAAAAAAAAAAAAAAA